UAAAUAUUUGUAUCACUACCACAGACAGCAGGUGCAACGAAUUUUGCUUAAUUACCUGCCGAGGUACUACGCUACAUCAACAAGUUUUUCCAAAAUUAAUUUGGAGAAUUGAGCGUGACCUUGGCAUUUAGAUGUCAGGGUCUAUUUUUAUCGCUCU
rfam:Limnothrix rosea IAM M-220 NIES-208_Scaffold_23, whole genome shotgun sequence.